rnacentral:lncRNA from 1 species
GAGUUUUUCUUCACCCAUGGUCAGGGAGGCGCCAUCGCCCUGGCUUUGGGGCUGGGGCCUCCGGGGAGGUUCCGGUAGGGGCGUUGGAGAGGCCGCUCUUUUUGCAAGGCCCGAGAUGGCGGGCCCUGCGCAGGCCGCCCUAUUCCGCGCCCUCAGGGCGUCAGUAUCCGCCUGAGGCCGGAUACCCACUCUGGGCUCGGAUACCCGCGCUGGGCCCGGAGCAUCCUCGGCGCUGCCCUCCCAGAGCCCCGCAGAGGCUGAGGUGGCGCGGGGGCGGCCCCGGCUCCGCGAGAAGAGGCGGCAGCGAGGGCUGGAGGACCCGGGCUACGGGGCUCCGGGGCGUCUGGCCUGGGUGGGACUGAGCCCAUCCAGGGACUGGGACUCCGGGGUUCUGGUGUAGGUGGAUCCCGGGCAGGCUCAGGACCAAGACCCUCUCCUUCCACCAAGGAGCGCCCAGAGGCCGGCGGGAGCUCCAGGUUCACCUCCUCCUCCUCCAGGAAAUCCCACUUCCAGCUGGAUGUCUGGAUGAACUCCUGAAAGCUGCUGAGUGUCCUGCAGCAGGUGAGCUGUGGCCAGAGCCCAAGGAUGAAGGGGACUCCCUCACUCUGUGACUGUGAAGAGGAAGCCUGAGGUGUAGCAGGCCCAGGCCCCAGAAGUAUGGAAAAAAUGAGCCUUUCAUCCCAAAGAUGCAGCCGACUUGAUUGUGGUGGAUGAGCUUUUUGAUGUGCUGCUGGAUUCUGUUUGCUAGUAUUCUAUUAAGAAUUUUUGCAUUGAUGUUCAUCAGGGAUAUUGGCCUGGAUUGAGCAGCUUGACUACCACACAAAUUAAUCCACUCAAAUGUUGGCAAGUGGAGCAGAGUCCCAGGACAGGUACAGAAACACCCCCAGUUCAAGGAUCUUCACACCUGGAUUUAGGCCUACACCUGCAACUACCCCAGGCCAGUUAUCCAGGCAGUGACUUUCUGUACAGCUACAGUCACCUCUGGACACCUGCGGAGACUUUAAAAAUUUCCAGAAGGUCAGGAAUUUUUGGAGACCUUUCUUAUGGCUACGUUGCCUGCAAAGGUGAAUCAAUAAGCUUCUGAACUGACUUAGAAAAUGUUGCAGAGACUCUUGUGAACAGAUAGACCCUCUCCUGCCACUCCAGAUAGACGUAUCCGGGUCACACACACCUGAUUUAACAACAUCUCAUUAUCUCAGGUGAGCAACAGACAGCAAUUUAGGACCUAUCCCAGUGUGGAUGAGAGAUAUUGAGUUGGCUUAGAAAAAUGUUAGAUAGACUAGAUGGGGCAAGAAAGCCCAUUCUGGGGCUCAAAAGCCUGCACAUAGAGUUGCUGGCACAUAAAGGGUAUGUAUAAAUUCUUUCUCAGCCCAUGAGAUCAGGAUGAACUUCAUCAGUAUACCAUGCUGGUAUGAAGAGAUUAUUGCCUCCAAAGGGACUCAGAAUAUUUCAGGGAUCCUGUAUUAGUCCAUUUUUACACUGUUGUAAAGACACUACCCCACACUGGGUAAUUUACAAAGGGAAGAUGUUUAAUUAAUUCACAGUUCUGCAUCGCUGGGGAGGCCUCAGGAAACUUACAGUCACGGUGGAAGGCAAGACAGAAGCAGGCACCUUUUUUCACAAGGUGGCAGGAGAGAGAAGUGAGUGCACAGAAAAAAAAACCUCCUACUUUUAAAACCAUCAGAUCUCCUAAGAAUUCACUCACUAUCAUGAGGAUAGCAUGAAGUAAACUUCUUCGACACAUGGCGAUUACAGGUCCCUCUGUCGAUGUGUGGGGAUAAUAAUUUGAGAUGAGGUUUGGGUGGGGACACAGAGCCAAACCAUAUUAUUCUGCUCCUGGCACCUCCCAAAUCUCAUGUCUUUUAUAUAUAUUUCAAAACCAAUCAUGCUUUCCCAACAGUCCCCCAAAGUCUUAACUGAUUCCAGCAUAACUCAAAACUCCAAGUCCAAAGUCUUAUUUGAGACAAGUCCCUUCUGCCUAUCAGCCUAUAAAAUUAAAAAAAAAGUUAGUUACAUCCACAAUGGGGACCUCAUGACCCUGACCAGUGCCCUAUCCUACUGUGGCUCAACUGAUAUCCAAGAUGCAAGACAAAGUCCUUUUUACUCUUUCCUCUAAUCUCCUCUAGCAGAAGGAAGCGGUCUUUUUUGGAGCUGCAAGCUGUGCUGCCUGGGGUUGGGGGAGUGGUAAUGCAAGUACUCCUUUAGCUGUCCUGGCUGGUGUCUCAGUAGGUUUUAUGGCCACUCACCUCAGUACACUGACUCUGAGUACAGUACUAUUGUGUCUGCAGUAGUGUAUGACAUGGAAAAUAAAUCUCCAUUCUCCAAGACUCUUCUUGAGCAUCAAGUCUGCCUGAUUGUUGAGAUAUAGCUACAGACUUUCCUCGCUGAGCCUAGCAUGCACAUGUUCCUCUGCUGGAAAAAAAAAAAAAACCAAACAAGCCACCAAACAACUUCCCACAAGUGGAAUGUUCUGGGACUCAAGGGGAGUCCCUGAAAUUCUGAUUACUGCAUAUGCUGCUGCUGCUUCUCUGGGUCUAGCUACCCAGUGGGGCUGCUGCACACUAGGCUGGUGCUCAAGAAUGUCUGCAAUGGACCCAGUGAUGUAAUCUGUCCUCAAGUCUCACAGCAGUGUGUAUCAGCAGCUGAUCAGAUGGGGAUGGCAGGGGAGUGAUGUAGACUCUGAAAGAUUCCUUGGUUAUAAAUAGUCCUAGUGUGUUGUGUAUUGGAUUUCUCAAAUGCCAGUUGUAGUAGUAAUGAACUCAUCACAUGGACAGACUCAGGGCCUCCUGGUUAGCCAGAGUGAUGCAAGCAAUGGUAACAGAUGUGGUCACUCACAACUUUUCUCCUUCCUGGGUGCUAUGUUAUUCUACCUGCAGAUGCUGUAAAGGACUGUCAGUAGGCCUUCAGCCAGGAGGUGGUGCUUCCAAAAGACUGCCAGCUGUGGUGGUAGUGGCACCAAUUUGAUCUUCUACUACUUUGCAGACAUCUCUUCUGCAAACACCAGACAAACUGAGACAAUGAACUUCCGCAGGACCCAAAGCACCUCUUACUGCAGGAAAGAAGAUCCAGUGAGAUAGUUAGUCCACAAAUGGAAUGUCAAUCCAUAAACACACUUAAGUAACAGAAUAAAUUUAGUAUGAGCGUUUUUAUGUGGGAGCUCUUGAAAUGGUUGCUGCUCAUAUGUCAGAGACAUAUGCAGUUUAAGAAAGGUAGCAGUUCCAAUCCUGGUUUGGCCCAACAGUCACUGCAUUUUUGGUGGGGAAAAGGGAUGUGGGAGGAGAUGGUACAUCUUCAUCUUUUUCUCUGGGUUUUCUGUCAGAAAGGGAUGUUGCUUACUCCAGUGGCAAAAAAUGCCAGUGUCUUCUGCCAGAGUGGGUUACUGAGGGCCAUGGUGGUUCCACCUUGUGGCUGAUACAGAUAGUCCCUUUCUGCUUUUGUUUCUAGCCAAAAAAGAUGUUUCUCGCAUCUCAGGUAUGCAGACUUCAGCAGCUGUUUUUUCUAUAUGGCUAUUUUUUUUUUCUUUCACUCUCUCUUUCUCUCUUUUUUUUUUGUUGGCUUCACUGUGUUGCCAUAGUUUCUUAAAUGGUCCCUUGAACCCUCCCAGAGCUAUUUUGGUUUGUACAUAACUAUCUAUAUAUUUUUUUCUUGGGGGGAGUGUGUAGAGCUAAAGGCUGGUAUAUCCUGCUCCUGCUCCCCGAAAGUGACGUUAUUCCCCCAAGCUAAUAUUUCAGGCUUUCAAUUUAUUCAUGCUUUCAUCUGUUUAAACAUAAGUAGAAAUUACUUUUUCUCUCCACAUUUAGAUUUGAUCUAUCUACUUUAAUUGCUAAUAGUGUCUUAGUCAUAGAAUAGAUUAGUUAGAAAAAAGUGUUUUUGACAUUAUAAAUGAUUCUUUCAAUUUGUGUCUAAAAGUGGAAAAUACUAGAAAGCUUAACAUUUAUUAUUGUAUUCAGACCAGUAUUUCCUCCAGAUGACCUUUAUUACAACAAAGAUAAUUUAAUGAAGAUCUCUCUAAUGGUAAAGCUGAUGGCUUUGUGCUAUUACAAUAUCCUUCAAAUAAAGUGACGAUCUGGUGGAAAGAACAACUAAAGCAAGGAUUAGGAAGAAAACAGUUAAUACCUUCAUUUUGGUCUCACUCUGCAUUAAGAGUUUUCAUUGUGUUAAGGAUUUAUUAUACAUUAAGUAAUUUAAUGUUCAUUUAAUAAUAAAUGGAUCCUAUUAAAUAUGAUUUUUAAAAUUAUAAUCACAUUACUUUUAUUCACAUCUGUCUACUGAUGCCAUUCCUAGAUGAGAAUGAUAUAACAUUAUUUUUUUUUUCAUUUUGCCACAUCUUUACUUACUUAGGUUUAUGCUGUAUCAAACAAUGUAUGUGUGGGAGUAAUGAUGAUUCAGGAAUGCAUGAGGAGGAGGUUUAAGCUCUUUAACCUUGAACAAUUAAAAUUAGCAACAUAAUAUUGAAAUACAUACAUAACACUCAAAUGGUACUUUCAAAAUAGUGUAUAUUUCCUCUGUUUAUUUGUAGCUUUUAAACCCAGCUAGAAGCAUUCUAUUUCCUUUAGGCACCAUAAGUCUGAAAGUCUGUAGUGAAAACUACAAGUAGUAAAUGAUACUAAUUCAUGUGCUCCCACCUGUGGAAGAAUUGAAUGUCUUAGAUAAAAAAAGAUGGUGCAAUUGGUGUACAAAGUAUCUAGAAUACAAUUUGGUGGUGGUUUUUCUGUUUCCAUAGCAGAGUAACAUAUAUAAUAUUCCCCUUUCAUCAAGUUAUUUAAAUAUGCCUUUGAACGGGGAGAAUUGAAAAUAAUACUGUGAAUCCUGGUAAACAUUUUAAAAUAAUGAGAAGAAUAUUGCCUUUAAAAAGUCAAAAUUUGUCUGAUUACAACCCAUAUAGCAAUUUCAUAGCAAAACACUUCCUUCAAUCCUAUUAAAAUCAGAAGGAAAAGAAGAAUACCCACUGUCAAUGUUAUAUUAAUAUAGUUCUAAAAGUUUUGGACAAUGAAAUAUGUUGUAAGAAGAGAAGUCAGGGGAGACUUGAGCCCAUUGUUUUCCCUCUCCUUCUAUACCUCCCAAAAUACCACUGGAAUGUUGUAACAUUUUGAAGAAUCUAUAGCAGUGUCCCAAAUCAUAGAACAGUAUGAAUACAUCUGAAUCUGAGAUAUCUCCGAAAGGUACAAUAUAUGUGUGAUUAGAAUGAAAGAAAGAUUUAGGCUUUUGGCCAUGACUGCAAGUUAGCUGGUCUCAAAUGACUGCUGCUAUUGAACAAAUACAUUUUAGAGGAUCUCUUUGAAACAUUUCUAUUCUUGAAAACGGUUAGGCAAGUUUUUAAAAUAUCUCCUUUUUCAAACACAAAAAUAGUCUGUGAACUGGAGCUUGAGCACUGGGCACUUUGUAUUGGCUAGCUGAUGGAGGGGUGUGAGGGUUUCCCAGAUCUUCUGGGAAGAUCUGCUAUUAUCAGCAAUGCUAAUGGUGGUACUACUGACUCUUGGGCCAUCAGAAAUUCCAGUUCGUUAAUCCUGGAACUUCUAUAUUGAGAUAAAGCAUUGAGUCAGUUUCACAGAGGAAGUUUGGAUAAUAGCAUUCUCAUUUCAGACCAUAGAAUGAUGGCAGAUUAAGGAUGAGCAAUGAGUUCAGUAUUAAAAAUGAUCAGGUAAGCAAGACACCAUGAAUAAAAGUUAAUGAAAUGAAUAGCACAUUUAAAUCUUUGAAAACUAAAUGUAUUGAAAUUGUCAAUGUGGAGAAAUAAUUAAGCAGCUGUGUAUCGAUUGUUUAAAGAAACAAUCUACUAUUACAAAGAUGUAAAAACAAUAGUAAAACAAUAUAGAUGAUAGAAAAAAUGGGCAGGUCUCACUGGGCGUCGUGGCUCAUGCCUGUAAUCGCAGUACUUUGGGAGGCCGAAGCGGGCGGGUCAUGAGGUCAGGAGUUCAAGAACAGCAUGCCCAAGAUGGUGAAAACUUGUCUCUACUAAAAAAAAAGUGUAUAUAUGUAUAAAUUAGCUGAACAUGGUAAUGUGCACCUGUAGUCCCAGCUACUCAGGAGGCUGAGGCAGGAGAAUCACUUGAACCCGGGAGGUGGGGGUUGCAGUGAGCCAGGAUUGCACCACUGCAUUCCAGCCUGGGCAACAGAGUGAGACUCUGUCUCCAAAAAAAACAAAACAAAACAAAAAGGCAGGUCUGAAUAAAAAAAAUUUAAAAAUAAAUGCAAGUUAUUAAUGAUAUAUUAGAUAUAGGUAACAGGAUAAUUAGUAAAGAAAAAAAUGCUUAAAUGAUAUACCCAGAAUGUAGCAUGGAAACACAAGGUCUAACAUUUAUUUAAUUCAAAUAUGGGGGGAGAGAAGCGUAAGAGGAUUCACCGUUUCAAGAGAGUCUCAAAAGAAAUUAGGAAAAAGUAUAAAUCCAUGGAUUCAAAGAACGUAUUUCUAACAGAUGAUAUAAAAAUAAAUUCACAUUAGUUAAAUUAUAAAUUAUAAAACAUUAAAACCAAAGACCAGACCAUACAAACAUUGAAAAAAGGGCAAUUUAUAAUGAAAUAAUAUUUAUCUGAUUAUUAUAAUAAGGCAAAAACUAAAAAUGAGUAAACUAGUAUCAACAAAUAUUGAGAGAAAAUAACUGUUAGUAUAGAACUGGGUACUCAGUAAUGCUGUCUUUCAAGAACAAAAAUAACAAUAUGAAAUUGACAGAUAAAAACUAAAAUUGUUCACUAUCAAGAGAUCUGCAGCAAAUAAAAUUUCAAAGGCUAUAUAUCAGGAAGAAAGAAUUUAACCCAAAAGCUGAUCUCAGAGUCAACUUGGAAUUCCAUAAAUAUCACUAAACUGAUGAUAAUAGUAAUACUUUCUGACAUGGGGGGAUUCUGAAAAGAAGUGAACUUUUACUUUUGUUUAGAGUUUAGAAAGCUAUAGAAAAAUGCUCUUGCCCUGACCAAGAGAAUAAGCUGGAUAAUCUAUAGAUCAUAGAUUUCAUUUUAAAAGACAGAGCUGAGGUCUCAAAAAAAGCUAAUUAACUUAAAUUCAGAGUAAUGAAGCCCUACUGAAAAAAGAACGGAUCCACAGAUGAUUUGUGUGUACCUGAGUUGCAGCAGCAGAAGCAGGAGGAAGCUGCCCUUGAUGGAGAUAAGAAGGAAACAAGUGAACCUCAAGCAAAUGUUGAAAGGCUGAAUGUGGGCUUGUGAUAGUUUAGCAUCUGUAGGGGCCCAAACACACUCACUCACUCACUAAUGCUUUAAUGCUUUUCUUUUCUUUCUUUCUUUCUCUUUCUCUUUCUUUCUUUCUUUCUUUCUUUCUCUCUUUUCUUCCUUUUUUUUUUUUUUUGACAGAGUCUCACUCUGUCACCCAGGCUAGAGUGCAAUGGCAUGAUCUCGGCUCACUACCACCUCCGCCUCCAGGGUUCAAGCGAUUGUCCUGCCUCAGCCUCCCAAGUAGCUGGAACUACAGGCACGUGCCACCACACCCUGCUAAUUUUUUGUAUUAGUAGAGACAGGGUUUCACCGUGUUGGCCACUGACUUCAUGAUCCCAAAGUGCUGGGAUUACAGUGCCUCGGCCUCCCAAAGUGCUGGGAUUACAGUGCCUUGGCCUCCCAAAGUGCUGGGAUUACAGGUGUGAUCCCACUAAUGGUUUUUUCAUGACCUAUCUUGUGUGCUCCUAGGUAAAAUCAGAUGGAGAGCAGGAGAACUUCCUGCGACACUUUUGAGGGACAGGCAUGUAGGAACUGCUGCAAUUUGAGGUUGGAGAAAGGUAAAGGUCGCACUGUGAGAAUCGGGGAAAAUCCUCUGUUACUGGGGAGUGGGUUGGGGAGCUGAGAGAAUCCCCCCUUCACUCUCUUUUCUCACAGGUGCAUAAGAAGAGAGGCCUGAUGAGGUCUGAAGGCAGGGGAGGGCAGGUAGCUGAGAGAAGUAGAUUUUCUGGUCUUUCACUGAGUGUGAGGCAGCUACUGCCCGUGGUUGGGCAAGGGAUGGGAGCCCUGAGAGAUUCUUGAGGUGCAGAGAUAGAGGCUUGCUGAAGAUGAAAGUGGACAGGAAAGCUAAGAGAGGCUCCAAUGCUGACCAUGGCACUCUGCAAGAAGAGAAAAUCUGUAUGUAGAGGUUUCUGAGGGAAAAUCGUGAGUUCAGUUUUGGAUAUAUAUUACUUUUGAAAUCAAGUGUCCAAGUAGAUAUAUCAGUUAUGCCGUUAGAUAAUUUAUUAUAAGCCUGGAGUUCAAAAGGAGGUCCAAAAGGAGAAUUGAAAGGGAUGAGACUUGCUGAGCCCCUCCAAAGAGUGUGUGGUGAGGGAGAAGAGAAGAGGACCAGGAACUGAGCUCUGGAGCUCUCCUAUAGGAGGUGUCAUGCAAAAGAUGAGGAAGAAACAAAGGAAGCCGAAGUGGUAGCUCCAGUGAGACAGGCUGAGAAUCAAGUGAAUGUGCCAUCCUGGAAGCCAAGUGAAGAAAUUAUACUGUGAAGAAGGUAGUGAUUAUUUGUGUCAAAUGCUGCUAAUAGGCCAAUUAAAGUUAUAGUGAAAAAUGAUCAUUGGAUCUAGCAAUGUGGAGAUUAUUGGUAACUUUGACAAAAGUGGUGUCAAUAUCAUGAUCGAAAAAGGGGGAGAGAGCCUGAUUGGGAUAUAUUUAAGAAACAAUGAGAGGAGACGAAUUGAAGAAAGAGAGUAUGGACAACUAUUUUAAGAUGUUUUGCUGAAAAGUAGAGCAAAAAAUGGGAUGACAGCUGGCAUCAGAAGAAAAGCAAGGACAUUCUUUUUCUUAGAUCAGAAAAACAACAGCAUAUUUGUAUGCUGAUGGUAAUAAUUUACUAGCAUCAAAAUUGAUGACAUAGUCGUGAUAUAGUGAACUGCAACAGGAAAAUCCCCAAGUACACAGCAAAGAGGGAAUAUAAUACACAAAUUUAAAAAUUAUUUGAAUCUCUGAAACAUCUGUUUUGAUAUUAACCUUUCAUUCCUGCAAUAGUUAUUUUAAGCAUGUUCUCAUUUUCUCUUGUUCAGUGUUGCCAGAUUAUUAUAAAGUGUAUUAGACUUUUUGAAAAACAUUUUUAAAAAU